GUCUCCAUAGUCGUUUAGGAGCAUUGCGUGACGACACUAAAAACGGCUGCGAGGGGGCUGCGAGGGAGACUACGGGGAAAUUUCCAGUGGCGAAUUGGACAGCUGUUUCCAGAAUUUCCUGAAAAGACGAAAACCUCAUGAGGAGCACACUCAACAUUUUGGAUGACAGAUUGCAGUUUAAAGUUAACAGUUCAUACCUGCAGGUACUGUU